AGAAUCCCUAUAAUUUGCCCAUUACGUUUGCUUGCUUCUCUGUGUCCUAUAUGCAUCUUUCUCAUCACGUGUAGCUAGUUGUUCUACGCUUUCUAUUACUAGGCGCCUCUUAGAUCUAAAGCUCAAGUUAUGCAAUAGUUACUAGUUGGUGUCCAAGAUUGAAUGACCAAGCUUUGGAUAAUAUAAUGGAGAAGGCUAUAAGCAAUGACAAUAGUGUAAAACCUCCUUCUUCUUCCUCAACCCAUAGUCCUGGUCAUGAUAAGGAAAGACUUGAUGAUGAAGAUCAACCUUAUGAUGAUGAAGAGACUGAAUGAUGUUACUUACAUGGAUGGAUGACUAACUAUGCAUAAUAUUCCUAGAUGACACUUUAUUUUUAAAUUUAGAAAUUUUAUGUAAACUUUGACAUCUUUGGAUGAUUUUAUUUGGAGUUUUAUGUUUUUGAAUUGUCAUAUACUUGGAACUAAUUAAUGCAGGUGAAUUUUA